rnacentral:piRNA from 1 species
UGCUAAUUACACUGCCUUCUUGGUACCACU